rnacentral:rRNA from 1 species
AGCAGCCGCGGUAAUUCCAGCUCCAAUAGCGUAUAUUAAAGUUGCUGCAGUUAAAAAGCUCGUAGUUGGAUCUUGGGAGCGGGCGGGCGGUCCGCCGCGAGGCGAGCCACCGCCCGUCCCCGCCCCUUGCCUCUCGGCGCCCCCUCGAUGCUCUUAGCUGAGUGUCCCGCGGGGCCCGAAGCGUUUACUUUGAAAAAAU